GCGAGCGUCGUCCAGUGGCCCAGGACCACUGCCUUCCAAGCAGUCGACGCCGGUUCGAAUCCGGCCGCUCGCU
rnacentral:tRNA from 1 species